rfam:Drosophila ananassae strain TSC#14024-0371.13 Ctg01_19288, whole genome shotgun sequence.
GACUUCUUCAUCUGAUGAUAUAUUCGAGUAGGAAUCUCAUUGAGCUUCAGUCAUGCGUUGCUUUGAAAUUAACUUUAUCUCUCACUGACUUUAAAACU